GAGUAGUAGUAGUUAUGAUCUUGAAACUUAAAGAAUUUGGCGGUAUUUUAAUCUAUUCAGAGGAACCUGUUCUGUAAUCGAUAAUCCACGAGGACUUUACUUAAGCUUGUAUUUCAAUUUGUAUACCGCCGUUAUAGAUUAUCUUAUAAGAGUAAUAAUUUUCUUAAAUUUUUAAAUAUAUAUCAGGUCAAGGUGCAGUUUAUGAUUAAGGAAGAAAUGGGUUACAAUAAAAUUAUUUAUACGGAUGUAAAAUUGAAAGAUUUUAUUGAAGGUGGAUUUGAAAGUAAAUUUAUGGAUAUAGUUAAUUUGACUUUAGCUCUAAAAUAUGU
rnacentral:rRNA from 1 species